rnacentral:lncRNA from 1 species
GAAUGAGACGUUCCAGAAGAAGAUGGCUUCUGGGAAAGCUUUUGUGAAAUUUUGACUGGAGGAAAAUCUGAAUUAAAUAAUCAGCAAUUCUUUCAAUUUUGAAUUUAUCCCACCAUUUGACUGAAAAUUGACGGGAAAGGACUCUAGAAUCCCAGUUGAUUUGGUAAGACCAUUUCAGGAUCCCAGGGACUUUGUAUUUAGCAAUGAGAAUAAGCAGAUUGGGAAAGAAUAACUCUGACUCUUAAAUUUGUUUUUAUUGGAGAAAU